rnacentral:sRNA from 1 species
UGUGUGUAAAUUGUUAUUUUGGUCAUUUGGAGGAUCCAAUCGCAGUGGACUCGUAACCAAGUCUGGACUCUGGAUCGGAUCGUGUGGCACGAUUCACUUUCAAUUUCAAUGGAUGUGGAUUCACUCUCAUUUAGCCAGCCGUUUUGGGGAAUGGGUUGGUAUAGUAUGGUAUGGUAUGGCAUGGCAUGGCAUGGGUUUGGGAUCAGAUGGGAUGGGGGUAAGCUUUGUUUUGUGCUCUGGAGUGGGACUGAAUCUGGUGUUGGUUUUAUUUCAUUUCUUCAUGCUCUUUCGGCCUUUUGUUAGCCAGCUUCUUUCGGUCUUUGGGGUUGUGUUGUGUGUUGGCUCGAGUUGGCUUGGCCUGGCUUGUUGUUAUUAUUAUUGUUACUGUUAUUGUUUUACUGGUUAUGUUGCUUUUGUAAUUGCUGUCCGCGUUUUGGCCACGAAGCUUCAUAAUGAGCUUCACGCUCUUGUUGGGUCGACCCAUCUGUACAGGCAUUUUAUUUAAUUUUUCUCCUCUUGUCUUUUUGUUUUUGCAAUAUUUUGAAUUUCUUCAAUUUGUUAUUUUUUUUAUCUCUGGCAAGUUUUAGUGUUGUUUUUGGGUUGUUUUUCUUAUUUAAUAAUUUACGCCCCGGCCAUGACAAUUUGCGUUAGAGAAGAGUGAUGGAUAAAAUUAUGAUUGGCAAAAUGUUUUGCAACUUUUCCAUGGCUCAUAGCCCCCAAAGCAAUAGCUAGCUUUUUCCCUGAUUUAUGCACAUAAUCUAUAAAUGGCAAUCAGCAUUUUUGCAUCGGUUGCAAGCGAUCCUUGGCCGCAUUUUGGGGCCACUCCUGAAAUGGCAUAAUCAGUGACCAGUGGCGCCAAACGGAGGACGACACCGUAGACCAUAGGCACCCAGGCACCGAGUAAGAUACCCAGCAGCAGUAUUGCAACUGCAACUUGCAACAGUUGAGAGACUCAAGUGGAGAGUCACAGAGACAGAGACUGUCACUUUUCCUCGAUGGCAUCAUUUAUAAUGCCGUUAGCCAAAUGGCACGUUGUGUUGAUUUUGUUGUUCAUCUUCGGCGGCUGCACUUGCUCCCCUGUCCACGGAUUGCAUUUCCUUAAUUUUCCACGCUCAUCUUUCACAUUCAAAACCAUCGUCAUCAUCAUCAUUCGUUGGUCGCGGUAAAAUAUGCUGAAUUCACUAAGGUGGAACAGGUGCAGGUUCAUCAGUGGUUACUCCGCGUCCUAGGGCAAUUUUUGGAGUUUUUCCGGUGCAAAUAUCUGCGCAAUUUAUGCUUCGGGCCACCCUUGACCCAUUAUAUUUGCCAGAAGAUAAUAUAGAUAUUUUUUAAAGAAAUGUAAAAGUAUAUAACUGGAAUAUAGCUCAAGUAAUUUAUGGUACCAUUAAUUGUGCUUAAAACUAAUGCAUCAACUUUAUUGGUAUUGUGUAACUCAACCAAGGAUUGUAAAAGAUUAACUUCAUAAUUAACUGAAAUUAAAGAAAAAUAAAUAAGUAUUAAGUUGUUUUAAUGGCGAACACGGAUGUAUGGCCAAUCGAAUAAUUAAAUAGUUACAUAAAAAUGUUUCUGUGAGACUAACCAAAAAUUGGGAUCUCAAAUAUUAAAUAUAAAUUUUUGAUUUGACAUAAGUGACUUGUUAAAUUAAUAUUUAAUGACUACUGUUGUUGGGAUGCAUGUGAUACACAUAGAAUAAUAUCAAUUUAAGAUUCCAAUUUUAUGUAAGAUAUAUAUCCUGCAUAUACAUUGCCCACUUUUCCCUACUUAAGUAUUUGAAGUACAUGGAUAUGUAUUGUUGAAACCAUACUUGGUGAUAUCAAUUUUGUGGAACGCUUUAUGAGCUACAACAGGCUGGGCACUGGCUGAUAUUGUUUACGUCAUUUUCCAACUGAAAAUUCGCAGUUACAUUAUGCAUUCUGGGAAAACCUCCCAUAGGGCGGAUACAUUCUGCUGGCCGGGCCAUUAUGCGAAUUAUGCAUGGCACAUUGCCAGAUCUUAAUGAAUUCGCCAUGCCACAGCGAUUCUGAGCCAUAUAAUCAGCGUCGCAUUCAGCCAUUCAUCUUUCUGCUUUCUCCGUGGCCUCAACCGAGUAACACAGUUCCCCAAAUCUCCCCCCCAAAACAUACAUAUGCAAAAACAAAGGCAGACGGAACCAUUUAAAUGAUAUUAUAUUAACAUAAAAAAACAAAAAACAAGCGGGAAAACAAUUAUAAUUUCGUUUACAAAACGAGAAACGGCACUUGGCGGGUAAAAAGUACUUAACGGCUUCGAACUGACAUUGGGAAUGGGUUCGGAAUGGCGUAUUGGAUUGUAUUUAAUUGUAUUGGAUUGGGGUUUUUGGGUUCGGGAGAUGCGAUGUGUCUUUCUGGUGGUGGGUGCCACUUUGCGCCGUUUAAUUUGUCGAGAGUUGCACUUGAAGCACGUGAAAGUAAAUUGAGAUAGAUGGGAAUCUUUCGGAUGGCGGCGCCCUCAAGCAGUUGGAUGUGAAAUGCACGAGUAUCUGAGCAGCCCAAAAGAUGAGAUGAAUCCGAAUCCGAAUCUGAAUCUAAAUCUGAGACCGUUGUAGGGUUGCGUUACACUGUGCGUGGGUUACGCAACAGGCUUCACUGUAUCGGUGGCCAGAGAUCUAGUUGAGAGAGGAGGGAUGUUGCAUUGAAAAUGAUUUCUUUUAUUGUUGCUUCUGCGGCGAGUCAUAAGUAAUAAAGAUAACGUAAGUUAACAACAA